AGUAACGCGUGGGUAACCUGCCUCAUACAGGGGGAUAACAGUUAGAAAUGACUGCUAAUACCGCAUAAGCGCGCAGUGCUGCAUGGCACAGUGUGAAAAACUCCGGUGGUAUGAGAUGGACCCGCGUCUGAUUAGCUAGUUGGUGGGGUAACGGCCUACCAAGGCGACGAUCAGUAGCCGGCCUGAGAGGGUGAACGGCCACAUUGGGACUGAGACACGGCCCAA
rnacentral:rRNA from 1 species